UACGUAGGGGGCGAGCGUUGUCCGGAGUUACUGGGCGUAAAGCGCUUGUAGGCGGUCCACCAAGUUUGGGGUGACAGUUGCCGACUUAAUCGGCAAAGUGCCUCAAAGACUGGCGGACUUGAGGGCCACAGAGGGACAUGGAACUCCAGGUGUAGUGGUGAAAUGCGUAGAUAUCUGGAGGAACACCAAAGGCGAAGGCAGUGUCCUGGGUGGUCGCUGACGCUGAGAGGCGAAAGCCAGGGGAGCGAACGGG
rnacentral:rRNA from 1 species